rnacentral:lncRNA from 1 species
GGGGUUGCGGGGCGUCCCGGCCGGGGGCGGAGAACGCCGGGGGCGCGCGCCGCGUACCUGCCGGGCCUGACACCCGCCUGACAGCUCGCGGCUGGAAAGCACCUCGCGGCCUGACGUCAGAUCCCCUCUCCUCCCCUCAGCGCGCGCCUCGCCCUCCCCCACCGCCUGGAGGCAGAAAACAAACUUUGAGUGGAGCGGGGCCAGCUACGCCCACCCCCCGCGGGGAGGGCCGGCGGCGCUGGGUUUAGCCACGCCUACUGCGGGAGGGGCGGGGCGGCACCUCCUUCCUGCGCCCACCCCCCUCAGGAAUGCCACAUGGCCUCGAGCGGCUAGCGGUGGGACCUCACUCGCGCUGUCUGCUAGGGGGCAGGAAGUGGCCCUCUCCUCCGCUCUGAGAGCGUUUCCGGAGCGCCUACUGUGUGCUUGUUGCUAGGGUGGGGCGUUACAAGGAAAGAAAGUGCCAGACCCGACCUUAGUAAGCGUGCUCGCUGCAGCGGUCCUCGGGCUGGCGCUGGGAAACUGAGGGACACUUAGUCCUGAGAACCUCCAGUUGGUAAGGGACAGUUCAGGAUGCGAUGGCUCUUCGGUCCCCCAGGGCCCACGGAGUCGAGAAGAAAGCCAUCUCCGAUAAAACCCCAAGCAGGUAGCCCAGUCACGCACUCGAGAGGCGACCGGGGGUGAUAACUGGCAGCGCUUAGGGAGCGUUGAUGACGCAGCCAGGCUGGCCCCGCGCUUCGUGGGCAUCAUCCCGUGCAGUUCUCCGGUUAUCUGGAGUCAGUUGAUCUUAUGGACAAAUGCUCAUCAGGACUCUCCUCAAAUCUGCUUCCUGUUACUAGCUACAUCCUAGUCAGUGCCUGACCAAGGCCAGAAUCCAUGGUACAACUGCUGUUUCAGGAAGCUGCUCACCAGGUGCUUCUCCAAUUAGUCCUUCUUCUUUAUGGUUGACCUGAUCGAAAAUGUCACAGCCCCAAACUGCAUAUAUUUCUACAUUGCUACCCAAC